GGCCGCCUAGAAAAAUGGCAUCGCGUCUGACUACGACGCCGAGUUAUUAUCAGGAAAUUGCAGGUUCGAUCCCUGCAGUGGCCA